AAAUUCUUUUUUUUCCUAUUAGUCAUUAAAAAAAAUGCCCAUGCUGACUCAAUAAGCAUUGCACGCACAUUAGGGAGAGCUGGAAAACAAAAAGCUACUUGAAUCCUGUUACAGACACCAAGACAGCAGACAACGUUGGAAAUGUGUGUUUUGGUCUCACUGCGACCAACUAAGGCAUCAAGAUAGCUGCUUGGUCCCGUGGUAUGCGCUCUAAACCAUCGUCUCGAUGGUCCUGGGUUCGAACCGUGCCCGCAGCCAGCGAGAUGUUUGGGAUUAGAAUGUAAUAAUCUUCAAGUCUGAACGUAGAGGCCUACAACAAACGUCGGAAACGUGUAAAACAAAAACAAAACAAAAUUAUUUUAUAAUAAAAUGUAUUUCUUUGC
rnacentral:sRNA from 1 species